AGCGAACGCUGGCGGCAGGCCUAACACAUGCAAGUCGAACGAGACCUUCGGGUCUAGUGGCGGACGGGUGAAUAACACGUGGGAACGUGCCUUUAGGUUCGGAAUAACUCAGGGAAACUUGUGCUAAUACCGAAUGUGCCCUUCGGGGGAAAGAUUUAUCGCCUUUAGAGCGGCCCGCGUCUGAUGAGCUAGUUUGUGAGGUAAUGGCUCACCAAGGCUACGAUCAGUAGCUGGUCUGAGAGGAUGAUCAGCCACACUGGGACUGAGACACGGACCAGACUCCUACGGGAGGCAGCAGUGGGGAAUCUUGCGCAAUGGGCGAAAGCCUGACGCAGCCAUGCCGCGUGUAUGAUGAAGGUCUUAGGAUUGUAAAAUACUUUCACCGGUGAAGAUAAUGACUGUAGCCGGGGAAGAAGCCCCGGCUAACUUCGUGCCAGCCGCCGCAGUAAAAC
rnacentral:rRNA from 1 species